GGAGAGCCCGGCCCGCGGGCCGUCCGUCCCCCACAGGAAACCGCCGGGGAGGCCGCGGCAGGGACCCGCCCCCAGGCCACUAACAACAACAACAGCGAGGCUGGAGCUCUGCCUGCGUGCGGGCCAAGGGCUAAACCUUGGACAGGUUCUUUCACUUACUCCGCCUGACAACCCUGCGACGUGAUACCAUUAUCCCCACUUCGCAGAUCAAAUAAACGGAGUCUUGGAGAGAUUGAAUUGACUUUACCAAAACCGUCAGGAUUUGAACCUGCUGCUCUCUGACCCUAAAGCCUGAGCUAGAAACCACCGCUCCCCCUCCUAGGAGGCCCCUUCCAGGGGCUUGCCGUGGCCAAGCCAGGCCAGUUGGGAGAAGUGGCAGCCUUGCCCUGGAGGGUUUUGAGAAGCACUGCUCCUGGAGGCCCUGGGGAAGGUCCCUGAAACCUUUGGCCAAUGUGGCUGUCCCCAUGGUCCACAUGCCCUCCCCACCCCCUGCCUAGCUGCUUGACUGCCUGCUGCUCCCCAGCCCACCAGCCUGUCCGUGGGUCAGCCCAGCCACCUGCUUCAGAUCUCUGCACGUGUGUCACCUGCUGUUCUGGCCCUCAUCCCAACUAUCCACCUGCCCAUCUCCUCCCUACCUCCUCGCUGCCUAUCUGCCCAGGACUUAUCUGCUGUCUGCUCACCUGCCUGCUUGUUGACUGCUUCUCUGCCCUCCUAUCUGCCUGUGAGACUAGAGAUUUGUCACCUUGGAAAGCACGGAGAGUACUGCUAAGAUGAAAUACAGGAAGGACAGGCCUUGAUGGAAGGUUGGGGGGCCGAGAGAUCCAGAGCCUAUGGGAGGGGACUUGUGAGUGCUGGCAUAUUCAAGACCCAGUGCAAACCCAAGCACAGCUCUGCUCCCGGCCCCAGUGGCCAAACUGAAGGCUUGCCCUGGCUAUUCUGCCGUUGACAUGGGCCUCACCCUACCACGGGGAUAGGUCUUGGAUGGAGGGAAUAGGGAGACUCACCGGGGGCCUCCUGAGUCCUUUGAGUGUCCCCACGACCCCAGCACCUGGGACAGCUGCUGGAAAGAGGGUACUGGCAAAAAUUUGCUAAAUGGACAAUAAUAGGCCCAGUGUCGUGGCUCAUGUCUGUAAUCCCAGCACUUUGGGAGGCCAAGGUGUGCAGAUCACUGAAGUCCAGGAGUUUGAGACCAGCCUGGGCAACAUGGCGAAACCCCAUUUCUACAGAAAACUACAAAAAUUAGCUGGACACGGUGGCACACACCUAUAGUUCCUGCUACUCAGGAGGCUAAGGUGGGAGGAUCGCUUGAGCCCAGGAGAUCAAGGCUAUGGUGAGCCGUGAUCGUGCCACUGUACUCCAGCCUGGAUGACAGAGGAAGACCCUGUCUCAAAACAAACAGAACAACAGCAACAACAAGAAAACAGUAAUAGGGACAUUGAGUACCCUUUCUGGCACCUGGCACUCUGCCAAAUGCUGUGCACACUCCUGCCCUUCAGUCUUCCCAGUAACCCUGUGCAGUUUGUAGCGUGGCUCACAUUUGCCAAGAAGGAAGUGAGGCUCAGCGAGGUUAAGCAGUGCCUGUGGAGUCAAAUGGCUGCAAGUAGUGGCCUGGACUGGACUGCAGAGCCCAUGCUCCCCACCGCUUUCCAUGGGGCAACUCUAGGCCAUGAUUCUCCACCCCUCAGACCCAAAGCUGCCUUUUCAUAAUGCUUGCUGUUGCUCCCUUUAUGCUCCUGAAAUGAAAUUUAUGGCUAAUAUGCCAGCCUUUACAUCUAAUUAAAAAUCAUCCAAUGGUUUUUUUGUCCUUAUUAAUAUAUAAGAAAUAAAAGGUAAUGAUAA
rnacentral:antisense_RNA from 1 species